GUUCACCAGAUGUGUUUUGAUAUGGGUAGGUCAAAAGGUCAAGCCGCAUAAUAGAUUUAUAGCUUUUUCUGAGUAAAAAAUAUAUAUAAAAUCAAAGGGUAGGUAUUUUGAGAAAAUAAGCUUUGUGUUAUGUGUGGGGCAGUUAGCUGAUUACACCAGAUGUUUUUUGAUAUGGGUAGGUCAAAAGGUCAAGCCGCAUAAUAGAUUUAUAGCCUUUUUAACAUUAAAAAAAUAGUAUAAAAUCAAAAGGUGGGUUUUUGGAAAAAAUAAGCUUUGUGUUAUGUGUGGGGCAGUUAGCUGAGUUCACCAGAUGUGUUUUGAUAUGGGUAGGCCAAAAGGUCAAGCCGCAUAAUAGAUUUAUAGCCUUUUUUAACAUUAAAUAAAUAGUAUAAAAUCAAAAGGUGGGUUUUUGGAAAAAAUAAGCUUUGUCUUAUGUGUGGGGCAGUUAAAUGGGUUCAUCACACGUGUUUU
ensembl:lncRNA